AGGGACACCAAAGGCCUCUGCCCUCCCUCUCUAUCUAUCCAAGAGAUGGAAGGGCAGAGCUUUUUUUUGGUUUUUUCAUCUUUUCAUCAAAGAGU
rnacentral:rRNA from 1 species